GGUGCCCGGUGGGGCCAGACCCAUCUUCACUUCCAGCCCUGAACUCUUGGCUGGCAUUGCUGUGCGUUGCUAAACAGCUGCCGUGCUGCGCCCCAGAGGGGGCUGCAUUCCAGUGGCAGGAUCUUCAUGUCGUCCGAGAGCAGCCGGCAGGCGAAGCCGAUGUUCACCGCUGUCUCUGCAACGCACAAGUCACCAAGCUGCUGCUACAACGGGGGUCCCCCGGCAGCAGGGGAAUAUCCCAGCACUGCCCCCACUCACUCCUAGCACUAGCUAUGCAGCUCCCAGCACGGCUGGGCAGCUCCCACGUGCAUGGGCAGCAGGAGACAGGUUCUAGCCCUGCUCUUGCUGGGUGACCUUGGGCAGGUUGCUCCCUCUGCCUCAGUUUCCCCCUCCAUAAAAUGAGAGAGACCCAUG